rnacentral:rRNA from 1 species
UACGGAGGGUGCAAGCGUUAAUCGGAAUUACUGGGCGUAAAGGGUGCGUAGGUGGUUGAUUAAGUUAUCUGUGAAAUUCCUGGGCUCAACCUGGGCAGGUCAGAUAAUACUGAUGAACUGGAGUAUAGGAGAGGGUAGUGGAAUUUCCGGUGUAGCGGUGAAAUGCGUAGAGAUCGGAAGGAACACCAGUGGCGAAGGCGGCUACCUGGCCUGAUACUGACACUGAGGCACGAAAGCGUGGGGAGCAAACAGG